GAAGGCAGGUUACUAAGCAACAACUGACGCUGAUGGACGAAAGCGUGGGGAGCGAACAGGAUUAGAUACCCUGGUAGUCCACGCCGUAAACGAUGCUAACUCGUUUUUGGGUUUUCGGAUUCAGAGACUAAGCGAAAGUGAUAAGUUAGCCACCUGGGGAGUACGUUCGCAAGAAUGAAACUCAAAGGAAUUGACGGGGGCCCGCACAAGCGGUGGAUUAUGUGGUUUAAUUCGAUGAUACGCGAGGAACCUUACCAAGGCUUAAAUGGGAAAUGACAGGUUUAGAAAUAGACUUUUCUUCGGACAUUUUUCAAGGUGCUGCAUGGUUGUCGUCAGCUCGUGCCGUGAGGUGUUAGGUUAAGUCCUGCAACGAGCGCAACCCCUGUCACUAGUUGCCAUCAUUAAGUUGGGGACUCUAGUGAGACUGCCUACGCAAGUAGAGAGGAAGGUGGGGAUGACGUCAAAUCAUCACGGCCCUUACGCCUUGGGCCACACACGUAAUACAAUGGCCGGUACAGAGGGCAGCUACACAGCGAUGUGAUGCAAAUCUCGAAAGCCGGUCUCAGUUCGGAUUGGAGUCUGCAACUCGACUCUAUGAAGCUGGAAUCGCUAGUAAUCGCGCAUCAGCCAUGGCGCGGUGAAUACGUUCCCGGGCCUUGUACACACCGCCCGUCAAGCCAUGGAAGUCUGGGGUACCUGAAGUCGGUGACC
rnacentral:rRNA from 1 species